GAGAGGUGACAUGGUGAACACUGCCCAAAGAUGCACUUAGCCCAGCACCAAACUCCAUUAAGUCCUCCAGACACAUGCCACUGGCCAAGGUGUGAUGUAGAACCCACCAGAACUCUCCAUUCCUCUUGUAAAAGCAAUGCCUGGCCAAGAGGGCAAACAUCACCACCACACACAGAAAGGGAGGAAGAAGUGAAGACAGAAAGGAAGAGGACCGACCGUGAGGGCGCAGCAUAAAUGAAUCUCCCAAGCCAUAGGGGGAAACCCAGCCAUGCCUGCAGUGAUGGGAUAACAAAAGACACCAACCCUGACCAGUAGGGUGAAGAAGCUGGGUCAGCUUUGGUAUGACUCCAUAUGUAAUGGAAAAGGUCAAUGUCAUUGGAUAAUACCAAGAAAAAAGAGCUAAUAUUCUGUAGCAAAAGGCUGGGCUGGCAGCCAACAAACUCCAGAUACCCUCUGUUCUCCAUUCACCCUGGCACUGGGGUUAAAGGUGCGCUGGCUAUGAAGGUGCUGAGAACAAACUCAGGUCCUCGUGGUUUUUCAGCAAGUGCCCUUAACAACCAAGCUGUAUCUCCAAAUCCGGACUCACGUCUUAUAUUGCAGGAAGGGAGAGCUGAAACCUGGUGCCAGCCAGGGGAGGGGCCUGCCAUGCACAAGAGAUUCCACACAGGUCUGGCAACACUCAAGUAAGGCCACCUUUCAGGACAGACUGGAAUCGAGAGGAUGAAGGAGCCCCUCAGCCACGCUCUUGUUUACCCCAAUUUCUGGCUCUGGGUUUUUUAUUAAAGACCAUUUGGCAGUUCGUGUUACAGAUCUGGAGCACAGCAACGCUCGGAGGGCUGUUCAGCGAGUCCCGGGAUCCUCAUGUCUCUACCUCCUCAGCACUGGAAAUACAGGCGAACACCACUGUGUCCAGCUUUCACAGGACUGUGGGGACUCGAACUCAGGUUCUCAUGCUUGAGGGACAAUCACUUUACCACUGAACCACCACCCCAGCCCCUUAAAUUAGUUCUCCCUUAGGGACCAAUCACAGAAGGAGCUCCAUUCUCUAUAUCAACACAGGUGAGGAACCAAAGGAACGUCCGCCUUGAGAAAUCCCCUCCGUCCCUCCUGAAGUUGGUUUCUCCUGAUCUUAUAGGGGGAGGCAAUGGCCACAUUUCACUUUAUCUGACAGGAGAGCUGUUGGGUGGAUUUUGCUAGCUGCUUCAACUAUUAAA